CUCCCCCCCAAACCUCCUUUUCCAGCCUAUUUUUCUGGCCGGCAAACAAGAACAAGGCACAAAGACAAUCAUCAAACUCCCCAGCAACCCUCCCCCUCUCCUUUACCUCCUUCCCCGCUCCCUCCCUCCUUCCCUCCCUCCCUCCUCCAUCCAUCUCUCCCAACCAAAGAGAAAAUUCAGCGUCUGGGAAUAUCCUGCCCCCCCCUCCCCGCUAAAAUAAAUCGCUGGCUCCGCUAACCUCGCACCACCCCCAGUUCCCCCCUCCCGCCCUCAAAGGCAGCCCAGAGGUGUGGAUUUAAACCCAGCUCUAAAUUUGCUGGUGCUCACAGAGGCCUUUUAUUGGGGGGUGGGGGGUGUUCCCCUAAAAUAGCUUUUCCUAAUGAGUACAACCCCCCCAAAAAAACGCUGCGGAGCGGGACCGAAAGCCGCGGGUUUUCAGCAAAUCCACCCUCGCUCCCAGCUCUCGCAGGGCGCGAUAACACCGGAGCCCUCUGAAAGUUUGAGAAAAAAGAGGAGGAGAAAUAGGGAGCGAGGAAAUAAAGACACCACCUAAAGAAGAGCGAGGAGACGGUGCAGGAGUGGAGGAUGCCAAGGGGAAAGAAGGGCUCGAAUCUCUGCAGGAAAAAGCUCCCCUGGAGCCCGGGUGGGACCUGCGGAGACGAGCCCGGGUCCCCCCGCAGGCUGCGGGCACAGGAGCCACCAACCUCCCCACUGCGGGUGCCCGAGGAACCACUGUUCAUGACAAUGUCUAUUUUCUGUCAUUAAUAACUCGUUUCUUCCUUAAAAAAAAAAAAAAUCUCGUUUGGAUCCAAGAUUGUUUUUAUGAUUCAGUCGGACAAGACGGAACACAUGUUAGUUUAAGCAGGUUCAUGAAAUAGCUGUAAAUCAAAUAAAGUUUACGAGUUUAGCA
rnacentral:lncRNA from 1 species